rnacentral:SRP_RNA from 1 species
GCUGGGCGCAGUGACGCGUGCAUGUAAUCCGGUUGCAUGGAGGCUUGGUGUCGGAAUUUCGCGGGCCCGGGAGUCCUGCUGUUGGUUUCUGCAUGUUUAUCGGGUGUCAACGCUAAGCACGGCGCCGAUAUGGAUGGUCUGGGAGACGACGGAUCUUCCAGGUCGUCUAAGUAGGGGCGAAACGGCCCAGAGGAGAAAUCCAACAGGCAAAAGUCCCCGUCUGCAUCGGUGGUGGAAAUCAUCGCAUUCGGUUGAUCAACUUGCAUCCGAUUGCGUAAACCUAAAAU